GUGGGAGUGGCCAGGGCGGGCCACAUUUGGGCUAAAGGCCAGGUGAGGGGGCUGGGCGUCCCAGAGGAAUUGGUCUGGGGCAGGUUGGGACUGAGUCGCUGGCAGAGAGAGGGGACCACAGGAGUGUGGGUCCUUCACUCCUAGGAAAGCGCAGGAGGUGAGAGUGGACUUCCUUCUAGGGGUUCAAACACCAAGGGUGGCCUGUGGAGAGAACACAGGAUGGCAGAGCCUUGGAAAGCUAAAAAGAGAAAGAAGGAGCACUGCGGGACCUCACAGGACACUGCCUUGGCCACGUGGUCAGUGUUAACCUCCCCAGGACCAGGCACAUCUGACCAGCUGCCUCCCUCUGUGACCCCAUGGAAGGACCCAGUG
rnacentral:lncRNA from 1 species